GUUAUCCUCUGCUGCAUGA
rnacentral:piRNA from 1 species